CCUACGGGUGGCAGCAGUGAGGAAUAUUGGUCAAUGGGCGCGAGCCUGAACCAGCCAAGUAGCGUGAAGGAUGACUGCCCUACGGGUUGUAAACCUCUUUUAUAAAGGAAUAAAGUGAGGCACGUGUGCCUUUUUGCAUGUACCUUAUGAAUAAGGAUCGGCUAACUCCGUUCCAGCAGCCGCGGUAAUACGGAGGAUCCGAGCGUUAUCCGGAUUUAUUGGGUUUAAAGGGAGCGUAGAUGGGUUGUUAAGUCAGUUGUGAAAGUUUGCGGCUCAACCGUCAAAUUGCAAUUGAUACUGGCAGCCUUGAGUAAGGUAGAGGUAGGCGGAAUUCGUGGUGUAGCGGUGAAAUGCAUAGAUAUCACGAAGAACUCCGAUUGCGAAGGCAGCUUACUAAACUGCCACUGACAUUGAUGCUCGAAAGUGUGGGUAUCAAACAGGAUUAGAUACCCUGGUAGUC
rnacentral:rRNA from 1 species